GCAAGAUGAAUAUAAUUAUUAUUAAAAGUUUCUUUUUGAACUUCUUGGGUUAAUAUACAUGAACUUGAUUAUCUUUUUAACCAGUUAAAUAUACAUGGUUGGCAAGAUGACUAUAGUUGUUGUAGCAAAAACAGUACAUUUUUUCAAGAAAAGUUUCUGUUUGAACUUCUCCGAUUAAUAUAGAUGAACUCAAUUAUCUUUUUAAUAUGCACUCACAUGAGCUCGUUUGGAUUUGUGUGUAUAUUUGUAACACAAUCAGUUGAGAUCUGGAGAGAUCAUAAGUUCAGUCGGCCUUGGCAUCACAAGCGGGUUCAAUUCGAUCUCACACAGUGGGCAGGUCCCCGAUGGUGUGUGCGUCAGGUCUACUCGCACGAGUGGACGUCAGAUCACGCAAGUGGGCAGGUCCCCAAUGGUAAGAACUAAGAACUUGUUCUAUUCCUGCUGCUAUCAAGCUGUUUGUUGAUAUGCUUACAAGAAAUUAAAUAUCCUUUUUGAUCUUUCUUUGUUGCCAAAUAAAAAGCUAAUAUUUACGGACAUGUGCAGUAUAAAAAUUUGUUAUGGAGUAGUACACAUUUUAAAACUUUUAUAUAAUUGCAAAAAAAUACAGGUAUUCUCAUUCCCAAAAACCUACAAAAAAACAUCAACUUAUAUUGAUAGUUUUGGUUCUAGUCCUUAUGGCCCGGUUCUAGUAACUGUGUCGCCCGUGCGUUUUAGUUUUUUGUUAUCUCUCCUGGAUGCUUUUGAAGAGUUUCAAUUGUUUUUAGUUCAUCUUUUGAAUUCUUUUCAGUACAUCUACUUACCAAUCGUAAGUCAAGUUUCCUUGGUGUUUCCAUGCUAUUUCUAUAGCACAACAGGUGUGUGUGGUUAUGUUAAUGAGCGCAUGUAACAAAGUUUAUUUUGCAAGUUCAGAGAAGCAAUGAGGUAAAAGCAAAACACUGAUAUCAUGCAAUUCUUGUAAGAUAUCUGAAAGUUCAACAAUAAAAAUUAUAUAAGUUUAGUCUCAAGUGGAGAGAAGUUCCUGCAUCUCUGUAUGCCCGUGGAUGCUCGUGUGCUAUAGUUGCUUUCUCCCCUUCCUGUACAUGCUGCUACUCACCUUUUAUCUCUCUGAUGCGUUGUGUUGCACUACUGCAGCUCGAUCCAGGAGGUGCUAGCUCAUGCUGGCUGGAACUAGGAUGCAAAAGGGUUGACGGAUCCAUGCCGCACAAGCACUGGUGCUCUACUUUCUUCUUACUUUGUGUUCUAAUUUGCUUUCUUAUUAUUUUCAGUUUGCGAGAUACAAAAAAAGUUAAAAAAAUGUUUUGCCUGGAGUUCAUAUUAUUUGCUACCCCGUGAUGUACGUCUAUAGUUUCUCCCUUCAAAUGUGUUAAUCCAUGUGGUUGUAUUUUCUGUAUUUCUCCCUCCAAACGUAUGCAAGUAGAGAAGUUGCACACAAACAGAAGUUUUUUUUAGUGAGAAUAAUGCAUACUGUCUUCUAUAACUCAUUUCACUUCACGGUUUCUUCCACCUGUUUGUUGUUUCCUAUUUAUCCUAAUUCCUAAAUGUUCUACUCAACUUCAGCGCCAUGCUCAGUCCAACCCAGUGGCUUCAGGGUGGCCGAGUUCGUCACGACCAUCAGUUCGGAGACCUGCAUCACUGCUCGUGUCACUACCAUGGCCACCUGCAUCACAGCGUGAUCCAUCAACAGCCUCUUGCACAAGGAAAAGCAACAGGAGUAGAGGCGUCUGAGAUGCUCUGUCCUGGCGACUGUGAGAAAGGCAAGUGCUUAUGCGGCUUUUGCUGAAGAAGAAAGGCCUAGCUUAACUGGCGUAGCAGUACCCAAAUCAGGUGUCGAUGUUGUGGAGGCUUUGGAUCUUUCCCUAGUUGCUUGACUCCAAUAAUUAUGUCUUUUGAGAUUGUACCAUUUGGUCGUCCUUUGGUCUUGUAUCGAACUUCUAGUCAUCUUGUUACAUCAGUUCAAAAUCAUAGUAUGCGAAAACACCCUCAGUACAAACCCAUACGGGCAUCAGUUCAAGUACUUUUUCGGAACCAUU
rnacentral:lncRNA from 1 species